rnacentral:rRNA from 1 species
GCGGCACGCCUAACACAUGCAAGUCGAACGGAAUAAGUAGCUUCGGUUAUUUAUUGAGUGGCGGACGGGUGAGUAACACGUGGGAACCUGCCCAGUAGUGGGGGCUAACUGUUGGAAACGACAGGUAAUACCGCAUACGCCCUUCGGGGGAAAGAUUUAUCGCUAUUGGAUGGGCCCGCGGUGGAUUAGGUAGUUGGUAGGGUAAAGGCCUACCAAGCCAAUGAUCCAUAGCUGGUUUGAGAGGACGACCAGCCACACUGGGACUGAGACACGGCCCAGACUCCUACGGGAGGCAGCAGUGGAGAAUCUUAGACAAUGGGGGAAACCCUGAUCUAGCGAUGCCGCGUGAGUGAAGAAGGCCUUCGGGUUGUAAAGCUCUUUUACCUGUGAAGAUGAUGACGGUAGCAGGAGAAAAAGCACCAGCAAACUCUGUGCCAGCCGCCGCGGUAA